rnacentral:rRNA from 1 species
AACGAACGCUGGCGGCAGGCCUAACACAUGCAAGUCGAACGCUGUAGCAAUACAGAGUGGCAGACGGGUGAGUAACGCGUGGGAACAUACCCUUCGGUUCGGAACAACUCAGGGAAACUUAGAGCUAAUACCGGAUACGUGCGAGAGCAGAAAGAUUCAUCGCCGAAGGAUUGGCCCGCGUUCGAUUAGCUUGUUGGUGAGGUAACGGCUCACCAAGGCGACGAUCAGAGCUGGUCUGAGAGGAUGAUCAGCCACACUGGGACUGAGACACGGCCCAGACUCCUACGGGAGGCAGCAGUAGGGAAUCUUGCGCAAUGGGCGAAAGCCUGACGCAGCCAUG